AUUCCUUGCCAAAGGGGUCUCUUUAUCAGGGAAGGAACUGAAGUGCAAUUUCCCAGUACUCUGCUACUGUUGAGAACACCUGAAAAUACACCAGGGUUACCCCAUCUAGAUAGGACACACCAUUGAUACAGAUUUGAGUUACUCCAGUCUGUACAUUACUGUAUACAAGUUUGUGUCAGUAACAAAAGGUCAGUUCUGACAGCAGAGAAAAUGGAGCAUGUAAAGUAAAAUCAAAGUUAACAUGCAAGAACUUCAGACAACAGAUACUGUUAAGAGGCCAGGUGGUUGAACAAGGAGCAUCGUGGAUGGGCAUAGAUAAAAUAUUUAUGGAUGACAGAAGCUAAGCUACCAUUGCCACGGGAGCAGCUGCAGUAGCCAGUGCAGGAAAGUGAGAUUACUCAAGUGCCAAGGAAGUGAUGACAACACACAAAACUGUUGGAGGAAGCCCAUAGAAGGGGACACUGCAAGAUUAAGCAAGUAUUGGACACCAGGACAACUUUAGAUACAUUCUGAAGACAUAAUAAUAUUCAUUUACUAUAAAAUACUAGUCACAAAAAAGGAAGGAAAGUGUCAUACAUCUGUUGCUUUGUCAGAUAGAUUUCUGGGUGGGAAGAUCAUUUUUUGCUAAAGAUCACUUUCAGAAAUGCAUUCAAAUUACAUACUUGGUACAGAAUGGGAACUUACUUAACUUGCUAGUUAAUUCCUGAGGAAUAUUAGUUUAAGCCCAGACAUAUUGCUGUCCCUAUAAUGUAUUUUCUUUACAUAUGAUAAAACUGAGGGCACAGUUUUGUCUGUAAGUUAGGAGACUACUACUGCUAACAUUACCAGGUAAAGUUGGUGAGCAUUAUCACAGUUUGGCUACUAUAAACCAGUCUUGUGAUUAUGAAAUGUAACCCUUUUAUCACAAAGAGGGAGGUAGUUCCUCUCAAGUCAAUAUUGGUUUGGUUUUUUGAGCAGAUAGUGUGAAGCAUUACUCAGUGAAACACUGCUCCUACUUCUGAUUAUAUAUUCACUUACUGCUUUGGAUUAAUGUUUUCUUUAAACCUUCAGCUAAAGUCCUUUAUGGACAGUGUCAAUGGACUAUGAGCGCCUCAGUGGUGUGAUCGGUAAGGUCUUGGCCUGCCACCUCAGUGGCUGCCAGUUCGAUUCUCGGGCAUUCCACUGAGGGGUCAGAGAUGUGUAUUUCUGGUGAUAGAAGUUUACUCUCGCCGUGGUUCAGAAGUCAUGUAAAGCUGUUGGUCCCGUUGCUCAAUAAGCACUGCGUUCCAUGCAACGUAAAAACGCCAUACAAACAAGAGAGAUUAUGUAUAGGAAUAGAGGUUAAACAAAUGGAGUAGAAACAAAAUGGAUACUCCAAGAAGAUU